AUGUAUUUCUCCAACAAAUGGUGGCUUUCUCCUGUACUACAGACAUUCCAGUGCCUGUGAUCUGGAAGACGUUUCCAGCCGUUACAGCGAACAAUGCCACCAGAUGCUACCAUCUUCCCAUCUCCUCCCCCCAGUGCCUCAGCAAGACAAAGCCCUGUUAGGGCUUCAGAUCACCUGUGCAGCUGCUCAGAACGUGAAGGACGGUGGUGACCCAGCAACAGGAGAGGAAACAAAGUGAGCACUGAAACUGUUCAUCACUGUGGUACUUUGUUAAUGAUUCUUCUGGG